CACAAACUGAAAACAUGAGAUUCGUUCUGGUCUCCUUUGUUGCUUGCAUGGUGCUCGCCGGAGCGACGGCCAAAGGCAAUUCCGGAGGCUGCUACAGCUUCUGCCGUAAUGUAUACAUACCAGUUUGUGGCAAGAACAGCAAGGGCGAAAGGCGCACCUUUUUCAACGAUUGCUAUAUGACUCGCGCAAACUGCAAUGAAAAAAAUGAUUUCAUCUUGCAGAAAGCUGACAGAUGUUAACAACACAUCUUGAAGUUUCGGACGAGGAUUCCUAAUUGCAUUUAUUUUGGCGUGUGAUUUAUUCAAUAAAGAGAUGCAAAUUAUA